AAGUCGUAACAAGGUUUCCGUAGGUGAACCUGCGGAAGGAUCAUUCAUAAUAAGUGUUUUAUGGCACUUUUUUAAAUCCAUAUCCACCUUGUGUGCAAUGUCAGGGUUGGUCUCUUGAAAAAGAGAUCAGCCCCAAACAUCAACCCAAUCUUAACUCUUUGUCUGAAAAAUAUUAUGAAUAAAACAAUUCAAAAUACAACUUUCAACAACGGAUCUCUUGGCUCUC
rnacentral:misc_RNA from 1 species